AAGUCGCGGGAACGUCCCUGGUGUUCCUGGACGCCGUGCUGGGCCUCCUCCUUCACCCCUCACCCCAGAGAACUGACCCGCGACGUCACGGACACCCCCAGCCCGUGAGAACCCGAGCAGUGCCACCUGUGGGUGACCGGGGACUCUUGUCGCAAUUAGGGACCGCACCUCCCCUUCCGCUAAAUGGUGGCGAACCAGGUGGGUGACGCGGUGCGGUGGAGCGAAGCAACGAGUUUUACCAAAAGAUUUUCAGAUCUGUACUAGAGAUUGUCCUCUGUGGAAUUUCUUCUUAACUGCCUGGAAGAUUUCAUGAAACCAGCACCCACUGUAUAUACCUUCGCCUUGCACCUAGCUGGGAGACUCUCAUCAAAUUACCAAAGGAAUAAAUGGGUCACAGAUGGUCUGAGGAUCCUGCCAGCCCCGACAAUUUCCUAUUUCAAGGAGGCAUCGAAUAAAUAUUUGCUGAACAAACAGACGAAGCAAACU